UACGGAGGGUGCGAGCGUUGUCCGGAAUCAUUGGGCGUAAAGGGCGCGUAGGUGGCCUGCUAAGCGUGCGGUGAAAGCUCGGGGCUCAACCCCGAGUCGGCCGUGCGAACUGGUGGGCUUGAGCACUGUAGAGGCAGGCGGAAUUCCGGGUGUAGCGGUGGAAUGCGUAGAGAUCCGGAAGAACACCGGUGGCGAAGGCGGCCUGCUGGGCCGGUCCUGACACUGAGACGCGAAGGCGUGGGGAGCGAACGGG
rnacentral:rRNA from 1 species